ACAUACAUUUUUCGAUUUACAAGAUAUUUUUAUAUGUAUGAUUCCAAAACUUUUAGCAACUCAGGUGUUGAUUGGUCUAUAUAAUUGAGAUUUAUUUGUUGUCUCAAAAGCAGAUAGUUGGAAACAUGGCUCAUGCCUUGGCUACAGCACUCACAAGGGAACUUGUGGGAAAUACAAGCUCUCCCUCAACAAGUUCAUGCCCUAAUAUCGGCAACAAUUCUGGCCCUUUGGCUUCAAAUUCUUCAACACGGGUCAACCAGGCAUUAAAACGGCAAUUUCCAAAUCUGUUUCAAAAGUCAGACCUGAAAAAAGGCAAACAGAGGAUUAUCGCCUCAACUCGUUCUACAAAAAUCUCCAACAUUGGAAUAUACGUAUUGCCAGGCCCCACCAAUCUAACCCCAAAAAGUUCUGAUGAGCUUCCCUUAGCACAUGCAGGGUUAGGGAGAAGGGUGCUUUCUUUUUCUGACGACAGCAGGCAUGAGGAGAUUGUCAGUCAGUUGGAGGACGAGUUUAUCAAACUUAAACAACUGAAGGGAAGAUGGAUGUUCCAUAAAGCAUCAG